AUGUUGCGCGCCGCCGCUGGCCUCGGGUCCCGCCUGGGCCGCGGUCCCCUGUCGGCCGCCACCACCCAGGCGGUGCCGGCCCCCAACCAGCAGCCUGAAGUCUUCUACAACCAGAUCUUCAUAAACAAUGAGUGGCAUGAUGCUGUCAGCAAGAAAACAUUCCCCACCAUCAAUCCAUCCACCGGAGAAGUCAUCUGUCAGGUAGCCGAAGGAGACAAGGAAGACGUGGACAGGGCAGUAAAGGCUGCCCGGGCCGCCUUCCAGCUGGGCUCACCCUGGCGCCGCAUGGAUGCGUCUGACAGAGGCCGCCUGCUGAACCGCCUGGCUGAUCUGAUCGAGCGGGACCUGACCUACCUAGCAGCCUUGGAGACCCUGGAUAACGGCAAGCCCUAUGUCAUCUUCUACCGGGUGGAUCUGGACAUGGUUCUCAAAUUCUAACGUUAUUACGCUGGCUGGGCUGAUAAGUACCACGGGAAAACUAUUCCCAUCGAUGGGGACUUCUUCAGCUAUACCCGCCAUGAACCCGUCGGGGUGUGCAGGCAGAUCAUUCGUGGAACUUCCCGCUACUGAUGCAAGCCUGGAAACUCGGCCCAGCCCUGGCAACGGGAAAUGUGGUUGCGAUGAAGGUAGCUGAGCAGACUCCACUGACUGCCCUCUAUGUGGCCAACCUGAUUAAGGAGGCUGGCUUUCCCCCUGGCGUGGUCAAUAUUAUUCCUGGAUUUGGCCCCACAGCUGGGGCCGCCAUCACCUCCCAUGAGGAUGUGGACAAAGUGGCCUUCACAGGCUCCACCGAGGUUGGCCGCCUAGUCCAGGUUGCCACAGGGAGGAGUAACCUCAAGAGAGUGACCCUGGAGCUGGAGGGAAAGAGCCCCAAUAUCAUCAUGUCAGAUGCAGAUAUGAACUGGGCUGUGGAGCAGGCCCACUUCGCCCUGUUCUUCAACCAGGGCCAGUGCUGCUGUGCGGGCUCCCGGACCUUUGUGCAAGAAGAUGUGUAUGCCGAGUUUGUGGAGAGGAGCGUUGCCCGGGCCAAGUCUCGUGUGGUUGGGAACCCCUUUGACAGCCAGACUGAGCAGGGGCCGCAGGCGGAUGAAACUCAGUUUAAGAAGAUCCUUGGUUAUAUCAAAUCUGGGAAGGAGGAGGGGGCAAAGCUGCUGUGUGGUGGAGGGGCGGCUGCUGACCGUGGCUACUUCAUCCAGCCCACCGUGUUCGGAGAUGUGCAAGACAGCAUGACUAUCGCCAGGGAGGAGAUCUUUGGGCCAGUGAUGCAGAUCCUGAAGUUCAAGACCAUAGAGGAAGUCAUUGGGAGAGCCAACAAUUCCAACUAUGGGCUGGCUGCAGCUGUCUUCACCAAGGACUUGGACAAGGCCAAUUAUCUGUCCCAAGCCCUCCAGGCUGGCACUGUAUGGGUCAACUGCUAUGAUGUGUUUGGGGCCCAGUCCCCAUUCGGCGGCUACAAGAUGUCUGGGAGCGGCCGGGAGCUAGGAGAGUAUGGGCUGCAGGCAUACACCGAAGUGAAAACCGUCACGGUCAAAGUGCCUCAGAAGAACUCCUGAAGAACUGUGCCGACUCCUGGCGGAGGUCAAGGACAUCAGCAGCAAAACCAAGAAAAAUGACACUUGUACAGUAUAAGUCUCGAAAGAGAAAUUCUCUCACAAAAUCUCUUGAUCAAGAAAGUCUCAG